AGUGCUUAUCCAAUCACAUUUGCCCCAGUGUCCUGUGGAGUUAUCCACAUCAAUGGAUAACUUGGAGGCUGUUAUGCAAGGGCAGAUUACAGAGAGGAAGUAGUCAUCUGCUAAGGUUGUGGUGUCUGCAUGAAAGGAGAGGAAUGUGAAUGGAGAGUGGUCUUGCAGAUUGUGGCCUUUCUGGAAAUAGAACACCAGCCGGUUAAUCAUGGUGUUGGAUAGGUGACAGAGUGGAUAGCCAGCUGACUGCCUGUGGUGUCUUGACCUGGGUUGGAAUUUCAGGAGACUCCCUUGCCUCUGAUAUGUUAGAGGAGUAGUGGGCGUUCUUCAGAAGGAUGGCAAGCCUUUUGGAGCCCCACCAGAACAUGUUGGAACAUCCCCAGAGAGGAGGGAAGAACAGCUCUCCACAGCUGGGAAAAGUCUGCUCUGACUCAGGCCCCUUGGAAUCCCAACCAUCCUGGGGAAGACACAAACACACACACACACAAUCCCUGACGUUACUCUACGUGUCUCUUUCUGUUUUCUAUUUUUCUCCCUCCCCUCUCUCCCUCUGUCUGUCUCCCUAUAUUUCUCUCUCUCCAGGAUAGGC